AUGCACCUGCUGCUGAUUUUCCUGUUCAUGCUGGAGGACCCUUCAGGUGUCCUCUCCCAAGUGCAGCUGCGGGAAACGGGCCCGGGAACAGUGAAACCUGGGGAGUCCCUGACACUCACUUGUACCAUCUCCGGAGACUCGGUUUCUACCACCAGCGCCACCUGGGACUGGGUCCGGCAGCCGGCGGGGAAGCGGCCGGAAUGGAUGGGAUGCACAUGGUACAGGUCUGGCCGGUGGAACAGUGAGCACCCCGGCUCUGUGCAGAGCCGAGUGACCAUCCCACAAGACACUACCAAGAACCAGUUCUCCCUGCAGACAGUUCUCCCUGUCCGCUCGCUGACAGCUGCAGACACCGCCACCUAUUACUGCUCCGGGAGAGACCACAGUGAGACAGAGCAGAGCCAGAACUGA